rnacentral:miRNA from 1 species
CUGAUACCCAGCUAGAUUUGAAUUUCACAUAAGUAUCAAAUAGUUUUUAAAUAUGUCCCAUAGAAUGCUUGGGACAUACUUAAACUAAAAAUUAUUCAUUGUUUAUCCGUAAUUAAAAUUUAACUGGGGCUC